ensembl:lncRNA
AUGUGCGGGGCCGGAACACCCAGACCCCAACUCUCCAGAGGAACGGGCGACCGGGCUGCUGUUCCCGGUCACCAACGCACACGAAACGUUCAAUCAAUCCACGGAAGGCUGGCUCCCCGUACCUUCCUCCCCUGCCCCGGCUCCCCAGGCCCCACCUCCCCGGCUGCCGAGACCAGGCAGGGCUCCACGUACUUUCGCCGAGAUGAAGUUUGGGGCUCCCCGGGCGGCCACGAGCCGCCCGCCGGCGUGAGGGCUCCGUUGUUGUUUUCCUGGGGCCGCUCCAGCCCGCGCCCCGGCGCCCGUGCCCCUCUCGGGCGGCGCUGCCUGUGUGCCGAGAGGUGCUGCUUGCAAACGCAGCCUGGCACCGGCUGGCCUACUACUCCCCGGCCCGGCCCCCAGCCUCCCGCUCGCAGGGCACUGCCUCCCGGCCCCCCGCCCCCGGCCCCCGCCGGCGCGGCCGCCGCGACCCUCGCCCCCGACCUCUUCCGACCCAAAGUUUUGGCGGAGGGGGAAAGUGUCCGGGCGGCGGGCCGGCGGCGGCGGCGGCUCCGGACGCGCGGGGUUCCCUCCGUCUUCCUCAAGUCCACCCUACCGGCUGCCGCCGCCGCUGCUCCUGCCGCGGAGUCCUUGGGGCUGCAGCCCGGCGGCUCGCAAGUGGCAUAUCCCGUAAGUGCAUUGAGCUCAUUGAGUGACUGCUGAGGUGUGAUUUGAAGCAUUCAGGGAAGGCUACUCUUAUGUCCUGAAAUAGUUCUCUGGCUGACCUACAGCGAUGCCUGGCAUAGUGGGCACUUAAUACACGCUUGUGAGUAAAUGGUUGCAUGAAUAUUGAAUGUCUAAGUCUCUUAUUAAAAUGCAAAUAUUCCAAGAGGGAUGACAAAUAAAGUGUCAAUGGCUAUUAACAAUUUGAUAGGCUGGGGACUUGUUAUUGAAACUCUUUUCAUUGUGGUCAGUCUGUGCAAUAGGCUCAUAAGGCUAAUUACUGUGGAAGAUAGAGCUAGAGUGGAGGCUUACCUAGGGAGGGUGUAUCCGGCACAUCAGUUUUACAAAUAUGCCUACACCCCAUCUACAUUUGUCCCCUGGGCUGCCAUAAUACAUGAGCACAAACUAUGUAGCUUAGAAUGACAGAAAUGGAUUGUCUCACAGUUCUGGAGGCCAGAAGUCUGACAUCAAGGUGUCAGCAGGGCCAUGGCCUCAUUGAAGGCUCUAGGGAAGAAUCCUUCCUUCUUUCUUCCUACCUUUGGGUUAUCAAGAACCCUUGGGGUUCCUUGUCCUGUAGAUGCAGUUCUCUAAUUUCUGCUCUUCACAUGGCAUUCUACCUUCUGUGCCUGUGUGUUCCCGUAUCUCUCUUUUCUCUUCUUACAAGGACACUAGUCAUUGGAUUGGGGUACACCCUACUUUAGUAUGACAUCAUUUUAAUUUAACUAAUUAUAUGCAAGUAUCCUAUUUCCAAAUAAUUUUGCAUUCUGAGGGUCUAGUUGGACAUGAAUUUCUGGGGAACACUGUUCAACCCAGCAUACCACUUAUUAUGGCUAGAUGAUGGUUAAAUACUCAGCUCACCUCUAAGAAAAAUCUGUUUGUGGGGACCAGUAAUCAUCUAUGAUAUGGGGCAGUGACACUCACAGGUACAUGUGUACAUCACUGGGUAGCAUAAAGGCACUUUUCACUUACUGAGUGUGAGAGGUAACCUAGAAGAUCCACACGGUAGGAAAAAAAGAAUGGCAAAAACAUUAAUUGACUUUAAAAACACAUUGUAAGUACAUAUGAUGGGCCAGGCUUUGGGUGAAGGACUGGAAAAAGAGCGGUAAAUGAAAGAGAUAUUACUCAUGUCCCCAGGAAAUAUGCAGUCCAGCAGGAAAAGAUAGACAAUAAAGAUGUAUAGAAUAUAUACACACUUGAAAUUCUAAAACUGAAGAAGUGUUAUGAGAUUUACAGAGUGGUCUAUGAAUGAGAACAACUGAGAGGAAGCCACUGGGCUAUGGUGGUCAGGUAGAAACACUGACACCAUGACUUGAAGGAUGAGCCAAGAACAGGUGUUUCACUUCCUUCAUCAGUCUGUUGGGACUGCUGCUGAGCAGAGAUCUCAAAACUCAGCAAUUAGACGAGGGUGUUUGUAUCCUAUCCCGCAUCUUAACUGUUUAGUUGUACUCUAGAUAGAAGCUCUGUCUGGCAUUUCUCUUCUCACUUUUACCCACCCUUUCCCCACCCUGAUGGACACAAAUGUGUAUUUCCUACUUUUUUCUGAGUCAUUUGAGGGUUGCAGAUAUUUUAACUUUUUAGCCCGACAGUUUCAGCAUGCCUAAGCAAAAAGACAUUUUUCUUUAUUUUUUAGACGGAGUUUCGCUCUUGUUACCCAGGCUGGAAUACAAUGGCGCGAUCUCGGCUCACCGCAACCUCCGUCUCCUGAGUUCAGGCAAUUCUCCUGCCUCAGCCUCCCGAGUAGCUGGGAUUACAGGUACGUGCCACCAUGCCCAGCUAAUUUUUUGUAUUUUUAGUAGAGAUGGGGUUUCACCAUGUUGACCAGGAUGGUCUCGAUCUCUUGACCUCGUGAUCCACCCGCCUUGGCCUCCCAAAGUGCUGGGAUUACAGGCUUGAGCCACUGUGCCCGGCUGCAAAAAGUUAUUUUUCUACUUAACUACAGUGCAAUUAUUACACUUGGACAAUUUAACAUCAAUACAAUGUUAUUUAAUUACAAUCCAUAAUUUAAAUUCUCUGAAUUGCUUCAAUAGUAUACUUUUUGAAUAUAUUUUCUUCUGAUCCGGAAUCCAAUCCAGAAUCAAGCAUUAUAUUUAGUUGACCUGCCUUCUUAGUCUCUUUUUUUUUUGCGGGGGGGGGAUGGUGUCUCACUCUAUUGUCCAGGCUGGAGUGUAGUGAUACUAUCUUGGCUCACUGCAACUUCCGCCUCCAGGGUUCAGGCAAUUCUCCUGCCUCAGCCUCCUGAGUAGCUGGGACUACAGGCGUGCCACCACACCCAGCUCAUUUUUGUAAUUUUAGUAGAGAUGGGGGUUCACCAUGUUGGCCAGGAUGGUCUUGAUCUCUUGACCUCAUGAUCUGCCCUCCUCAGCCUCCCAAAGUGCUGGGAUUACAGGCAUGAACCACCAUGCCUGGCCUUAGUCUCUCUUAGUCUACAACAGUUUCCCAAACAUUUUUGUCUUUUAUGACAUUGACAUUUUGAAAGAGUCCAAGUUACUGCUUUGUAGAGUGUCCAAUAGAGACUCAAACAUAUACUGGAUGUGUAGCAUAGUUUUUGGUAUUUUGUCAAAAUGCUUACUUGGAGAUUUGCAAUGGACUGAAAUUGCUAGCAACCUAUAUGGAUGCAGUUCAAAUCAUCCUGAAUCAGUUUCAUGGGGGUGUGAAUGAUAUUUUGUUAAAGGGGGAGCAUUAUGAAAAAGUAAAAACUAGUUUCUUUGCUGCAGGACUAUAUAAAGGUUAGUAUAUAGAUUUUAUAUACUAACAGACAUUAUAAAUCUUUAAAAGCAUUGUAGAAUACAGGGUUUCCCAAACUUAUGUGAUCACAGAACACUUUGAGGACCAUAUCAGAUAUCUAUUACUGAAAAAUUACCUACCGUUUAUGGGCUUAAAAUAUACCAAACAUCAUCUUAUACAGUUUCUGAGAAUCGGGAAUCUAGAAGUUUCUUUUUUUUUUUUUUUUUUUUUGAGACAGAGUUUCGCCCUUGUUACCCAGGCUGGAGUGCAAUGGCGCUAUCUCGGCUCACUGCAACCUCUGCCUCCUGGGUUCAGGCAAUUCUCCUGCCUCAGCCUCCCGAGUAGCUGGGAUUACAGGCACGCACCACCAUGCCCAGCUAAUUUUUUGUAUUUUUAGUAGAGACGGGGUUUCACCAUGUUGACCAGGAUGGUCUUGAUCUCUUGUCCUCGUGAUCCACCCGCCUCGGCCUCCCAAAGUGCUGGGAUUACAGGCGUGAGCCACCACGCCCGGCCUGGAAUCUAGAAGUUUCUUAACUGGGUGGUUCUCAUUCAAAGUCUCUCCUUAGAUUGUAAUGAAGAUGUUAUGUGGGGCUGCAAUCAUCUGAAAGCUUGAAGAGAGCUGAAAGGUCUGCUUUCAAGGUGACUCCAUCACGUGGCUGUUCGUAGGAGGCCUCAAUUCCUCACCAUGGGGCCCUCACCAUAGGGCUGCCUGAAUAUUCUCAUGACAUGGUAGCUGCUUUCCCGCAGAAUGAAUGAUCUGAAAGAGAUCAAGGAGAAAGCUGUAAUGUCUUAUGACCUCAUAUCAGAUGUCACAUAUGCUCACAUCUACUAAUGAGGCACUAACUCCACCCCACAUUCAAGAAGAGAAGAACUAGGUUUCUCUGCCUUUUCCUUUUGUAGGCUCUAACUUUUGAAUAGAAUAGUGUCCAAUAAUUUGUGAACAUAUUUUUAAACCACUAUAAAGACCAUGUUGAGGGUAUAGAAUUUUUCAUAACACACUUUAGAAAAUAUUAGUUAAAAUGUUGAAAGCAUUCAGAGUUGACUGGAUGUGGUGGCUCACACCUAUAAUCCCACCACUUUGGGAGGCCUGAUCACCUGAGAUCAGCAGUUCCAGACAAGCCUGACCAGCAUGGCGAAACCCUGUCUCUACCAAAAUACAAAAAAUUAGCUGGGCAUAGUGGCACACACCUAUAUUCCCAGCUACUCAAGAGGCUGAGGCAGGAGAAUCACUGGAAUCCGGGAGGCGGAGGUUGCAGUGAGCCAAGAUCGCACCACUGCACUCCAGCCUUGAUGACAGAGUGAGACUAUGUCUCAAAAAAAAAAAAAAAAAAAAAAACUAUACACACACACACACAUAUAUGUUAAAAUGUUGAGAGUUCUGGGUGAGAAAUUAGAAGGGGCGUGUCUAAAGUCAGACUCAUUUAUUAGCUGCAUCAACUUGGGCUUUCUUUUAACUUUGUGAGCCUGAAUUUUUAUGUAAGUAAAAUGAAGGUAAUGAUAAUAUUUAUCUUUGAAGUAUCUUCGGGUUGUUGUGAAGAUAAACCAAAGCACAUAAAAACUCUUUAACAAUUAUAACGUAUACACAAAUGUUCACACAUACUAAAACUGUUGGCCAACAUAUGAGCAUCAAAAUAAG